GUGGGUAUAGCUCAGUGACAGAGCGCAUGCUUAGCACGCACAAGGCCCUGGGUUCCAUCCCCAGCAUCUACA
rnacentral:tRNA from 1 species